rnacentral:rRNA from 1 species
CGCUGGGAGUACGUCGCAAGCUGAAAUCAAGAAUGACGGGGUCACACAGCGUGAGGAUGUGGCUAAUCGAGGUACGCGAAGAACUUACUAGUCUUGACAUGAUGGUUACCCUGUGAAAGCAGGGCACCCUUCGGGGGAACAUACACAGGUGCUGCAUGGCUGUCGUCAGCUCGUGUCGUGAGAUGUCGCGUUAAGUCGCUUAACGAGCGAAACCCUUGUCUCUAGUUGCCAGCGCGUAAUGCGGGGACUCUAGAGAGACCGCCGGCGUUAAGCCGGAGGAAGGUGGGGAUGACGUCAAGUCCUCAUGGCCCUUAUGACUAGGGCUGCACACGUCCUACAAUGGAACGCACAAAGGGAAGCGAAACCGCGAGGUCAAGCAAAUCCCAAAAAUCGUUCCCUAGUUUGGAUUGCAGGCUGCAACUCGCCUGCAUGAAGCUGGAAUCGCUAGUAAUCGCGGGUCAGAUACCGCGGUGAAUGUGUUCCUGAGCCUUGAACACACCGCCCGUC